rnacentral:lncRNA from 1 species
CCUAGGCAUACCCAGCCUUUCAAGGUCAAAUGAAAUAGUGUGACCAAGGGUGGAGUUGGGUGCACCCGAAAAAAAAGGAAAAAAUAAAAUAAAUUUUACCUUAAAAUGAAAUUGGACUUGGGGGACAUACCCGAGCAUGACCCACGCAUAAAUCCUGCAUUGGAGGUUGAUCGUAGGGACGAAAACGUUGUAGAUCAGUUAAAAGUCGCAUAGCCAACAUAGGGACCAAACAAAAAGGAGUAGCAGAUAAGUAUCUCAGUAGUCUUUCUUCUUAAAAUGUAUUUUGUUCGAUUUGCUAAUUGAGAAGCUAAACAUUUCCUAGCUCAUGACUUGUGAUGCGGAAGUGACUCGGUAGACCUUUUGGAUAAAUACACAUCUUAGAUGAAACUCCAAGGAAAAGUGAUGUCAUAAUGUGUAAAAUACUCCCAUUAACAUUUGAGGAUAGAUCACAAAGAUGGUUAAAAUGUUAUCACAACGACCUAUCAUAAGUUUGAAUGACCUGGCCAACAAUCGAAAAUCGAAAAUCAAAAUAAUUUUUUUUGAAAUCAAUGUCACUUUGACUACAUUCUUUUCAAAGGAAUUUCUGUGUAUUUUAUACUCAAAAUCUGCAAAUAAUCAACAUAAUUCCUAAAUUCUGCCAUGCAUGUAAGAAACUUCGAAAUUUUGAUUUAAAUAGUUCAAGUUUUGCUUGAUUGUUCAUUAAUAAACUAUACAUUCCAUAAUUAUUUAGUAAAAUGAAAUCAACAAUU